AGGUACUAGGGCUACUGGCAUGGCCUGAAGGCUAGCCCACCCGGUGUGGUACAAUGGCCGAGCCAAAAGUGGUUCUUUACCUAA
rnacentral:pre_miRNA from 1 species